GCAAGAAUGGAGACAACCAGUAGAACUUUAAAAAUACAUUAUUUUUAUUUUGUUGUUUUUUUCCUGUUCACUCAUUCUUUGUAAAUAGAUCAAAAUUCAAUCAUUAAUGUCUUCGCAGUUUCAUGGUAGUUAACAUUGAGCUCACAGUGGAUGAAUAAUAGUUCAUAUGUGUAUGAACUCAGUUGCAUUAAUACAUUAAUAAACCAGCAUUUUAAACACGUUUCCCUGAUAAUUACUGAUGAUUAUUCUGAAAAAAAAUAAACUCAUGCAGUAAUCUUUGCUGAAUACAAAAUCAAUACAGCAGUACACUGAAAACAAAGAAAACACACAAAAAAAGAAUUGUGUGUUGCGAAAGUUCUCUUUGGGUAAUCGCUUAUAAUACACAUUCACCUAGUCCCUGAACAACACACACAAACACACACACACACAGACAGACACACCACAUCAAUUACCAAUCUGCCUUCAAAACAGAUCAAUCACUGGGAUGGCCUCCCUCCAAUGCCUCACAGGGGCGGAGUCACUGGCUUGUUGUUGUCUCCCUGUUGCACACUUGUGCAAUUGGGCUGUACUCUGCUGGAAAUACUCGGCCUUCAUUCAGGGUGGUUGCGGUUGGUGGGUGUCCCUUUGGUUGAUGCUUGGCAAUGUGGGUGGAUUGAUUUCCUGCCUGUUGGGCCCUGUCUGGGGCCUCCCCUGGAUAGGGCCACAGUGUCACUGGACCCCCCCCCCCCCUGUCUGAGACCCAAGGUCUUAAGCUGCUAUAUUAUUGUGCUGGGGGAGUAGGGUUAGUUCUCCUUCUCCACUAAGUUCUCCUUCUCCAGUAUAAAUCCUUGUUGAUAUGAGGAAUGCAUUUUCAGAAUUUUCCCAGUCCCAUUUUUAACAUUUUGCGGUCCUGGCACACAUCUGCGGAGUACCUGGCUUGGGGGACCCAUUGCUGUCCCUGUCCAGAGUCCUCCUGGUUGUGUUGCAGAUCAAGACGAUACCUGAUGAUUUCAGCUGCCACUGUGCUGACAUCUCCCCCUCCCCCAUGUUGUCCCUUUCCUUGUCCAUCUGGUCAUGCUUCCGACCUGGACUAAGUUUAAAUAGACUCUAGACUCAGCCCACACGCAUUUAUUAAUUAUUACAAUUGUAAUCUUAAUAUGUUGAUCUGGCACAGCCAGAAGAGGACUGGUCAUCCCUCUGAGCAUGGGUCCUCUUUAGGUUUCUUCCAAAAUGUUGGCAUUCUUAGGGAGUUUUUCCUGGUCACUGAAAUUCAACACUACUGUUGUUUGCUCCUUGGGGUUUAAGGCCAUUUGUUUUGUAAAAGCACUUUGUGACAUCUGCUGAUGUGAAGAGGGCUUUAUAAAUACAUUUGAUUGAUUGAUUAAUUGAUUGAAUGAUCAAUCCCACCUGGCAAUGACGAACAAUUAUAAGACCUCAAUCAAAUAUACACUGACAUGAUAGGACUUCAGUUGACAGGCUUCCCUCCUCAUUCUAGAACUGGUGGUUUUCCAUGAGACACAAACACCCUUCAGAAAGUCAACUAAAACAGGACAGUCUUAUAUAAAGAAGUUAAACAUAAUGGGAACAUAAUCCAACAGAAAAAUAAAACAUGAAUAGUUAGGUCGAUUAUAUAAUUAAUAUAAUUACUUUAUGGGGGAAGUACAUUUAAAAGAUUUCAAAUAUUGAAGGCCUUUCAAAACCCAUUAAAUUCUUAGAACAGGAUGAUUAAAUGAAAACACUGCAUUGGUGUUGGUUUCUCUUGGAACAGGUGUUUUACAUGGCAUUCAACAAUGGCGCUAAGAGUAUUUGAUAACAUUGGAAGUGUACGUCCUGUGAUGGGCUGACGGUUCUUGUCAGACAGUCCGACACAGAGAGACAGAAACAGACAGAGAGACAGAAACAGACAAACAGACAGACACAGAGAGACAGAAACAGACAGAGAGACAGAAACAGACAAACAGACAGAAACAGAGAGACAGAAACAGACAGAGAGAUAGAAACAGACAAACAGACAGACACAGAGAGACAGAAACAGACAG
ensembl:lncRNA